rnacentral:rRNA from 1 species
GACGAACGCUGGCGGCGUGCCUAAUACAUGCAAGUCGAACGGUCUUUUCUACGGAAGCUUGCUUCCACUGAGAAGAUAGUGGCGAACGGGUGAGUAACACGUGGGUAACCUGCCCAUAAGAGGGGGAUAACAUCCGGAAACGGGUGCUAAUACCGCAUAGUUUUCUUGAUCGCAUGAUCGAGAAAGGAAAGACGGCCUUUGUGCUGUCACUUAUGGAUGGACCCGCGGCGUAUUAGUUAGUUGGUGAGGUAACGGCUCACCAAGACGAUGAUACGUAGCCGACCUGAGAGGGUGAUCGGCCACAUUGGGACUGAGACACGGCCCAAACUCCUACGGGAGGCAGCAGUAGGGAAUCUUCCGCAAUGGACGAAAGUCUGACGGAGCAACGCCGCGUGAGUGAAGAAGGUUUUCGGAUCGUAAAACUCUGUUGUCAGAGAAGAACAAGUCGGAGAGUAACUGCUCCGGCCUUGACGGUAUCUGACCAGAAAGCCACGGCUAACUACGUGCCAGCCGCCGCGGUAAUAC